rnacentral:rRNA from 1 species
AUUGAACGCUGGCGGCAGGCCUAACACAUGCAAGUCGAGCGGACGAAGGGAGCUUUUUCCUCUCUUCCGCGGGGGACGGGCGAGUAAUUCCCACGAAUCUACCUUGCAGUGGGGGCUAACGUCCGUAAGGGGGCGCUAAUACCGUACAGGUCAUGAGGUAGAAAGUGGGGGUUCUUCGGACAACACGCUAUCAGCUGAGCCUAGGUCGGAUUAGCUAGUUGGUGGGGUAAAGGCCUACCAAGGCGACGAUCCGUAACUGGUCUGAGAGGGUGAUCAGGCACACUGGAACUGAGACACGGUCCAGACUCCUACGGGAGGCAGCAGUAGGGAAUAUUGGGCAAUGGGCGAAAGCCUGAUGCAGCCAUGCCGCGUGUGUGAAGAAGGUCUUCGGAUUGUAAAACUCUUUAAGUAGGGAGGAAGAACAGUAAGUGAAUCCCUGGCUGUCUUGACGUUACCAACAGAGUAAGCACCGGCUAACUUCGUG